UGUCACAAAAGUACCUGAGUUUUAACGAUAUUCAAAUCUAUUUAUUGAUUAGUGACAAUUAAAGACUGUUGAACCAAUUAACAUUAAUUAGAGGGAAAUGAUUUCACUCUCAUUCUUGCAGUCCAACAAGAAAUUGGUUUAAUCAAGUCGUUUCCACAAACUUAUUAAGUACUUCUUUGAAUAUGUUUUUUAGCGCGAGAAGCAACGGAAAAAAUGCCCCCAAUGACCAUUUUUCAAGUUUGUUGAUUUCACUUUUAUUUUAUUGUGAUUAUGUGGAUGGUAAACAUCAAAGGCAAGAACCAGAAAGGCUCCUAGUCAACAUGGAAUCAACGUAUUCAUCUAAAUUGUAGGAUGGUUAAUUGAUUUGAAUGAAAUGUUGAAUUUUCGCUAAUAAAACGUCGUUGAAUUACAUCACAAAUUACGCAAAUUACCUACAAAGCAAGAAGUCAUCAUAUGGAUUUGGCCUUAACAAAUGACGAAUAAAAGAUGCUGAUUAAUUUGAUUACAAAUCGGUAUUACAGUGACACGCACAAAGCUUGUUACUGUAGCACAAAAUGUUCAUUUUGGUUUCCAAAAUUGAUUUCAAAAUCAAUGAAUCAACAACUUCCAUUAGUCUUCAUCUCAAAUCAUAGUCAUACUCAUAAAUAGGUUAUCAUGAUUUAAAGAUAAGGCGCAAAUCAUUGACAGCAACACUUUCUUCAAUAAAUCUGCAAUCACAAUAAACUCUGUGAUAAUUAAUAUAAUCAAGUGCAAUGAAAAAACCAGAAAAUAACCAACUACCAGAUUAUUUAAACAUGCAGAAAGGUUGAACCGUCCAAGUUGACUUGUUAACCAAAAUAUGAUGAACCAGUAAACCAAAAUGAUUAAUAUGAAUCAAAUUAAACCAACUAGAAUCGUGUUAUUUCAA